rnacentral:rRNA from 1 species
GACGAACGCUGGCGGCGUGCUUAACACAUGCAAGUGGAGCGACUAAGCAGGCUUCGGCCUGUGGCAAAGCCGCGAACGGGUGAGUAACACGUGGGUAACCUGCCCCGAUGACCGGGACAACCCGGGGAAACCCGGGCUAAUACCGGAUGUGGUCCAUCUACAUAAGUAGUUGGAACAAAGGUAGCUUCGGCCUCCGCAUCGGGAUGGGCCCGCGGCGCAUUAGGUUGUUGGUGAGGUAACGGCUUACCAAGGCGACGAUGCGUAGCUGGUCUGAGAGGACGAUCAGCCACACUGGGACUGAGACACGGCCCAGACUCCUACGGGAGGCAGCAGUGGGGAAUCUUGCGCAAUGCGCGAAAGCGUGACGCAGCAACGCCGCGUGGGUGAAGAAGGCCUUCGGGUUGUAAAGCCCUUUCAGGAGGGACGAAGCCUGGCUGGUGAAUAGCCUGUCCAGGUGACGGUACCUCCACAAGAAGCCCCGGCUAACUACGUGCCAGCCGCCGCAGUAA